ACUACUUAUCUUCCAGAAUGAAAGAAUGCAGUGUACCAAUAAAGAAAUCAUGCUGUUCUUGGCAGCAGAGGCUUUACUUUGAUAUUUCCAAUCUCAGCUUUCACAUGCCUCACCAGCACUGACUUCUAGAUUGCUCACCUGCUGUCACUGAAGACACUUCCCCUCCAAUCCUGUACCACUUAAAAACUCAAGUGUACAAGUGUUUAAGUAUUCACACAGAAGAGCAAAAACACAUUUGGAAAAAAAGAUGGGAUGCACCUCUGAAUGAAGACCUGCGAAAGUGAGAGAAACUGAAAAUAGUUGCAGUCAUCCAUCUCUGUGGCAAUUCAUCCUUACCACAAUUCAGUAAAAUAUGCCAUAAGUAUUAUAACCAUGUUAACAGAGAAGAGGCCAGUGACUGAUAAGCAGUGCUUUGCCUAGAUAUUGGUCUUUAGCUGGUGGGUUGGCAUGCACUAGUGAGCUGAGGCCUGAUCCAAGGUGGGUCAUAAUAGGACCACUAACGCCAUGCCGAAAUUUAAGAAACAUUUUACCCUAAAGUAUCUCUUACUACGGCAUGUCAUUUUCAUACCUCAUGAUGUCUGGACAGUUUUAUCCUAAAGUAUCUCCUACUAUGUUUUGUUAACUGUGUUGUGCUUUGAUCCAUGUAUAUGUAGCACUUUU